AGCAGCCGCGGUAAUUCCAGCUCCAAUAGCGUAUAUUAAAGUUGUUGCAGUUAAAAAGCUCGUAGUUGAAUUUCGGGGUCAGUAGAUUGGUCAUGCCACUGGUAUGUACUGGUCUCACUGAUUCCUCCUUCCUGAUGAGCCGUAAUGCCAUUAAUUUGGUGUUGCGAGGAAUUUGGACUGUUACUUUGAAAAAAUUAGAGUGUUUAAAGCAAGCUAACGCUUGAAUACAUUAGCAUGGAAUAAUGAAAUAGGACGUUCGGUCCUAUUUUGUUGGUUUCUAGGAUUGACGUAAUGAUUAAUAGGGAUAGUUGGGGGCAUUAGUAUUCAAUUGUCAGAGGUGAAAUUCUUGGAUUUAUUGAAGACUAACUACUGCGAAAGCAAUUUGCCAAGGAUGUUUUCAUUAAUCUAAGAACGAAAGUUAGGGGAAUCGAAGACGAUCAGAUACCGUCGUAGUCUUAACCAUAAACUAUAGCCGACUAGGGAUCGGAUGAUGUUAAUUUUUUAAUGUACUCA
rnacentral:rRNA from 1 species